UGUGGCACAUGGAGGUUCCCAGGCUAGGGAUCAAAUUGGAGCUGUAGCUGCUGGCCUAUGCCACAGCCACAGCAUCACAGGAUCUGAGCCGUGUCUACAACCUACACCACAGCUCAUGGCACAAUGCCAGAUCCUUAACCCACUGAGCGAGUCCAGGGAUCGAACUCACAACCUCAUGGUUCCUAGUCGAAUUCAUUUCCACUGCGCCAUGAUGGGAACUCCCCCUAAUUUCCCUUUCAGAUAGUUCAUUGGUAAUGUAUGGAAAUACUUCAGAUUUCUGCAUAUUAAUUUUCUAUCCUGCAACAUUAUGGAAUUCAUCGAUGAGCUCUAGUAGUUUUUUUCUUGGCCUCUGUAGGAUUUUCUAUGGAUAGAAUCAUGUCAUCUGCAAAGAGUGACCUUUUUACUUCUCCCUCUCCAAUUUGGAUUUUUUGUUUCUUUUUCUUAUCCAAUUGAUGUGCUGGGGACUUCCAACACUACACUGAAUAGCAGUGUGAGUGUGGGCAUCCUUGUCUCAUCUCUCUACCUUAGAGGAAAGAUUUUCAGGUUUUCACCAUGGAAAGGUUUUCAGCUUGUCAUAUAUGGCCCUUAUUAUGUUGAGAAAUGUUUCCUCUGUACCACUCUCUGGAGAGUCUUUACCAUAAAUGUAUGUUGAAUAUCAGCAAAACAAUUUCUGCAUCAAUUGGCAUGAUCAUAUUUUUUAUUCUUCAGAUUGUUAAUGUGUUUACAUGAUUGUUGUAUGAAUAUUGAACUAUCACUGCAUCUGUGGGAUAAAUCCCACUUGAUCACAGUGUACGUUCAUUUUAAUGUAUUUUUGGACUCAGUUUGCUACUAUUUUGUUGACGAUUUUUGCAUCUAUGUUCAUCAGUGAUGUUGCCCUGGAAUUUUCUUUUUUGUAGUGUCUGUCUGGUUUUGGAAUCCAUGUGAUGCUGGCCUCACAAGCGUUCCUUCCUCUACAAUUUUUUGGAACAGCUUGAAACUAGGUGUUAACUCUUCUCUAUAUGUUUGGUAGAAUCCACCUGUGAAACAAUCUGGCCCUAAACUCUUGUUUGUUGGGAAUUUAUUUAUUACUCAUUGAAUUUCAUUACUGGUAAUUAGUCUGAACUUAUAUUCUAUUUCUUACUGGUUCAGUCUUGGGAGAUUGUACAUCUCUUGGAUUUGGUUCAUUCUUCCAGGUUGUCCAAUAUAUUGGUGUAUAGUUGUUCGCAGUAGUCUCCCAGUAUUCUUUAUAUUUCUGUGGUGUCAGCUGUAACUUCUUUUUUAUUUCUGAUUUUUUUGAUUAGGGCUCUCUGGUUUUUUUAAUGAGUCUAGCUAAAGGUUUAUUACAUUGGUUCAUCUUUUUGAAGAAAAAAACUCUGAGUUUCAUUGAUUUUCUCUAUUGUUUCAUUAGCUUCUGUAUCAUUUAUUUCUGAUUUGAUAUAUAUGAUUUAUCUCCUUCUAUUAAAUUUGGGUUUUGUUUGUUCUUCUUUCUCUAAUUCCUUUAGGUGCAAGGUUAGGUUGGUUAUUUGAGAUUUCUCUUGCUCCUGAAGUAAGGUUGUAUCAGUAUGAACUUCCCCCUUAGAUUGCUUUUGCAGUGUCCCAGAUUUGGGAUCACCGUGUUUUCAUUUUCAUUUGUUCUUCUUUGAUUUAUUCAGUGGUCUAUUGGUCAUUAGAAGCAUAGGGUUUGGUUUCAACAUGCUUGUGUUCUUUACAGUACUGUUUUUUUAUGGGUGUGUGUGGUUGACUUCUAAUCUCAUAGCGUGGGGUUGCAAAAGAUACUUGAUACGAUUUCAGUUUGCUAAAAUACUGAGGCUUGUUUUGUGACUUAGCUUAUGCUCUAUCCUGGUGAGUAUUCCAUGUGCCCUUGAAAAGAAUGUAUAUUCUGCUGCUUUUGGAUGGAAUGGUCUACAUUUAUCUAUGAUGUCCACCUCAUCUAAAGUGUCACUUAAUGUUUCUUUAUUGAUUUUCUCUCUGGAUGAUCUGUCCAUUGAUAUGAGUGGAGUGCUAAAGGCCAGUACUAUUAUUAUGUUACUGUCAACUACUUCAUUUGUGUCUGUUAAUAUUUGCUUUAUCAAAUUGUCCUAUUUCAGCUGCCUAUAUAUUUCCAUACUUCUUGGGUUGAUCCCUUGGUGAUUAUAUAAGGUCCUUCCUUGUCUCUUAUAACACUCUAUAUUUGACAUUCUUUUUGUCUGAUAGGGCUACCAAGGCUUUGUUUUUACUUCCAUUGUGGAAUACCUUUUACCAUCCCAUACUUUCAAUAUUUGUGUGUAUUCUGAGCUGAAGUGAAUAUCUCCUAGGCAUUAUAUAUAUCUAGUCUUGCUUUUAGAACCAUUCAGCCAUGGUUUGUCUUUCAAUAGGAACAUCUAGUCCAUUAACUAUUAAAGUAAUGAUUGUUAGGAAUGUACACAUUGUCAUUUUUGCAGUUAUUUUUCUUACAUCUUUUUUUCUGUUUUAUUGUGAUUUGAGGAAAAUCUCUAGUGUUAUGUUAGGAUUCCUUUCUUUUUUCUCUGUGUGUUUAUCUUUUAUAGAUUUUUGGUUUGUUGUUACCAUGUGAUUUAUGCAUAGUAGUCUAUGUAUCUAUGAUUAAUUUAAGGAAGUAAUCUCUUGCUUUCCAAUGCAUUUUAACAACACUGUAUUUUUACACUGUUAUUGUCAUGAUAGAGGGUUUAUUUUCUCUCUCCAUCUCUUUUUUUAACAGCUGCUGCCAUGGCACAUGGAAGUUCCCAGGAUGGGGGUCUAAUUGGAGCAGCAGCUGCUGGCCUAUGCCAUAACCACAGCAAUGCUGAAUCCAUGUAGCAUCUGCAACCUGUGGUACAGCUUGCAGCAACACUAGAUCCUUAGCCCACUGAGAGAUGCCAGGGAUCAAACCCACAGCCUCAGGGAUACUAGUCAAAUUCUUAACCCACUAAGCCACAAUGGGAACUCCUGAUUAUGGUAUUUGCCAUCAUAUUUCAUGUCCAUUUUUCAUGUGUGCCCUAACUUCUUGUUGUGGAUAUAGAUGAUUUUACUACCUUUGUAACUUUCUAUUGGUUCUCGAUGUGGUUGAUUUAUAACCUGUAUGAUACAUUUACCUUGGCCAAGGAGCUUUUCCUGUCUUAAUUUUCAUGUUUCUAGCUUUGGCUUUUUCUUUCUGAUUUAAAAAAGUCCCUUUAACACUUCUGUACAGCUGGUUUGGGGGUUCUGAACUCUUUAAGCUUUUCGCUUUGUAAAACUUGAACUUUCUAUCAGAUAUGAGACACUUGCUGAACAGAAUAUUUCUGCUUUUAGGUUUUUCUGCUUCAUCACUUUAAACUAGGAAUAAAUGAAGAUUUCUACCAUCUAAUACAUGGUAUUUACAAAAUACUGCAGCUAAUCUACAUUAUUGGAGAAGAGCUAAAAUCUUUCCCCCAAAAUCAGGAAUUGGAAUCUAGUAAGGUUUUCUGUUCUUAUAACUUCUAUUUGAUAUCUUUCUGAUGUCUAGGCUUGUAGUGGGCACAAGGGAGCAAAAAUAAGUAACAGGUACCCUUUUUCAUUCCUCCAGAGAAGUUGCUUGGGUCCUUAAAAGGAGUAACAACAAAGAUGGAUCCAUGGGUUGGGCAAAAAAUGUAGCUUGUGUGGUCUUCCCACCCCCUUAGUGAUGUUGUAUGCAGGGACUAUGUGAAGUACACGGAUUUUCCUCCAGGCAUCUCAGAAGCCUUUUUGUGUCUUAUUGUUCAUAUUUGCCCCAACUGCACAUCCAAGGAGUUAUCAUUAGUCCCUUAGCAGUCUUUGUAUUCCGAUGCUCAAGGACAUUUGUCCAGGUGCAAGCUCUCCGGCAAACAGUCCCACAUCCCAGAUCUGAGCCUAUUUUAAUGUCAAGUCCAGCUGUAACAAUUAGACAUUUAAUAGUCUCCACUAACUCUUGUUAAGUGGGAUAAGAGAAUUACUUUAAAGAAAAUCUAGUAGUCCUCAAAUUCCAACCUCAGUCCUUUCAUUAAUCAAAGCAUUAAGGCUGUUUUUCUUGAAUUUUGCACUGCUUCAUUUACUGAUGGAAAGAGCUCAGGCAGUUUUAAAGGAACUCAUUGGGCAAGCCUCUCAGAACCAUGCAAAGCUGAACGAAGCAAAUGUCAAAAGUGAGAAGAACAAAAGUACCACCCCUUGGCCUUAUACCAUGUGCAUCCCAAUUAUAUGUUGAGGUAUUAAAGCCCUCCAGCCAAAAGCCCUCAGGAGCACAGCUAUGGAUGAGUUGGGUUGGAUUUGGCACUCCUUGCAGUGGGGAGGACAUAAACCCUGGGGAAUUGUACACAGGUGCCUUACUGCAGGGGUUUUAGAACAGGCUGAUUACAGGAUUUGAGCCUGUGUCACGUGAUUUGGGGAGCAGUUUGGGGAAGGAGCCCUCUGCUCUGGAUUGGUGACUUGAAGGAAUACAAGUCAUGCUGUGACUGGGUCUUAACAAAACUUAUCCAGAAGGAGAAGAGACUAGAGUGAGGCAAGAGCCGCAGUUGGUAAUGAAGCUGUACUCACUCAUUGCAGAGAGCCUGGAUGUUUAGUGGGAUUUCAUGGUUGCACACCGACCUGGUUUUGUCUUUAUUGAUACAAAAUUAUGAACUGGUCAGAAGUUGAAAGUCGCCGAGAGCCCUUGAGUGAUGUUGGUGUUUGUAAAAUUGUGUCCAACAAGAGAGCCCCAUUUCCAAACUGAGAGCCAGGUCAAACCCCAACAAUCCUGAAACCCACAUUCCCAGACCUCGGGAUCUCCCUCCCUCUUUCUCACCUGCUAUGUCACUAUAGGUAAGUAAAGAAUUAUGUGUCAGUUAAUAAUAGAGUUUAAUGGAAUCAAAGCAAACAUUUGUGCCGAGGAAAUGUUGACUAGUGCAUUCACGUAAGAGAAAACUCUAGUCAUGGAUGAUAUACCUAAGAAUUGUGUCUUGUUUUUAAAACUUGGAUGAAUUUGUAGCAAGUCCAUUGAUUCAGAAUAACACAAGAAAGAACUAGGUAAAAGGCAACCUAUCUGUCACUUGAAUUGACUAAACUCUUGGACAACCAUCACCUCAUCACUUAGACAAAUACUCUUUGGAUAUUGCUCAUUAAUUACUUUUUAUUUGAAAGCCAAUGAAGUGAUCAGAAUUAAGAUUUAGAUGGUAAGGCCAGAAAGUAAUUGCAGAUCAGCAGAUUAAGGGACAUUCUGGCCCAUUCCAACAGGGUUAAUUGCAGAAGGCCUUGGCUGAUUCCAUCGCAGUGACAGCUCUCAGCAAAAUAGUAAGUGAAGAAUUGGAUAUGAACCUAAAACAGAAAAAAAGGCAUUAUCGGGAGUAUUCAAAAAUUACGAAGGGUGUGACUUCAUUCCUUGGAAUAUGCAAGCAGACUAACAAAUAUCAAAUGUUUCUGAACUCGUAGAGUUAAAAAUACCAUGAGAUUUGCAUUUCUGGAAGAUAGACACUGAAUUCCUGUCACUAAGAACUGAACAUGCUGUAGCCUGGGAUGAAAAGCCUUGGUAGGCAGAGAAAAUAAGGGGAAAAAAGAAAGAAAAAAAAUAGUUAGCAUGGAUUAGUUUUCCCAUAUAUUAUGGCACAAUGGAAUCCAGCUUUCUUCUGAUAAGAGAUAAACAUUCCUGUGCUCACCCAGAGGCCACCCCAUGCAGCUCUUUGAGGCAGUGCCAAGCAUUGGCUCAAACACUAAAAGAGUCUAAAACAGAUUCCUCAGAACUUUCAUUGUUUCUGUACAAAUUCAUCCCCUUUCUUACUACACAAGGUUCAAGGGAAAGUUUCUACGGCAAUUUUUCAUUUUAUCGCCUGUCAAAUCUUUCCUCCAUAGAGAUACUGUGAGAUUUAAAUUGAACUGUAUAUGUAAAUUUUACACCACACUUCCUGUUGUAUAUUCAGAAUCAACCACAAUUGACAUAGAUUUCACCUGGUUGUUGAAGGAAAGAGGAUAGUGCACCAGAAAUAAGAAGACUGUACUGUGAUGCUCAAUGGAUUUCCAAAGUCCAAGAGGUAUUCUGAGUAACACUCAAAGCUUUCUGCCUCAAGGAAGCCUCAAUGUAAAGCUCUUUUCUACUUCUGGAAAAUCCUUUACAGGAAACAAAGAACUUUCUGAUUAAAAAAAUAAAUAAAUAAAGAAGUACCUGACCAUAUGGAAGCAACGUAUUUAUGUCUCUCCAGUGAGAUUUCUAUGAAAGAUGAAUUUUGCCUAUUAUGUGUCAAUAUUUCAAGAGCCACACAGGUAAACUUGGUAAGCAAGUGACUACAAACUCGUGACCUCUCUGACGUCUGUCUGUUGACUGGAUUUGUAAAUCCACAAGGAAAAAGAGAAUAAUGAAAGAAAAGAGGAAGUACUUAUUGGGUGGACUUACACAAUGGAGCAAUGGUAUGGGCAGCUGUGGUCUUGUGGGCAGUGGUCGUGGUGGGAUGAGCUGCAGUGGUGGUGGGAGCAGUUGUAGCGGCAACAGCUCUAGAUGUGGUGGAAGCAGUUGAAGUGGCAGCAGCUCUAGAUGUGGUGGCAGCAGUCCUGGUGGGAGCAGCUGUAGUGGCAGCAUCAUUGGUCAUGGUGGCAUCAUCAGGAAAUGCAAUUGGAAGGAAACAUUCCAGUCA
rnacentral:lncRNA from 1 species